rnacentral:rRNA from 1 species
GACGUAGGGUGCGAGCGCUGUCCGGAUUUAUUGGGCGUAAAGAGCUCGUAGGCGGCUCGUCGCGUCGACCGUGAAAACCCGCGGCUUAACUGCGGGCUUGCGGUUGAUACGGGCGGGCUAGAGUUCGGUAGGGGAGACUGGAAUUCCUGGUGUAGCGGUGAAAUGCGCAGAUAUCAGGAGGAACACCGGUGGCGAAGGCGGGUCUCUGGGCCGAUACUGACGCUGAGGAGCGAAAGCGUGGGGAGCGAACAGG